rnacentral:lncRNA from 1 species
AUGAGCCCCAGAGCUCCUGCUGUCCCAAAGCUACAAGUGCUGCUGGCUCUUUUCUUCCAUGACCAACUCUUGGCUCCACUGCCUGAUGCUUUAAAUGUACUAGGGAAGGCAGAUAUGGUGCUAACAUUGCAACUGCUCUUUGUGUACAGGAUCACUGCCUGGCCAAGACAUACCUAUCCUUUUCCAGGGACAACAAUCCACUGCAAACCAUCUUCAGUGAAGUAUUCUUUUCAUCUGCUUCUUUUCUCACCCUCCUAGGAUUUCAAGAUGGGAUUGUUAUGCUUUCCCACUGCUUCUCGUGUGACACAAAUCAGUGAUAACAAUAUCAUGGGGGCUGGGGGAAACGUGUAUGAAAUUGUGUCAACAUUGCAAAUGAACUUACAAGCUUUUCCUUUAAAAACUUUUUUUAUUUUUUGCAAUUUGUGCUUUACUGCUUACAGUAUAGUGGCAAUGUUCUGGAUCACUUCAGAAAUGUAUGCAGCAGUUCUCAAGCAAAUUGUGUAUUGAGAGACUGAGUUUUCAACCAAAUGUCACCCUAACCACCAUUUUUUUGCGUAUGGGAGUUGUAGGUGCUGCCACAGGCUGUGUUUUCUAUCUCAUGUCACUAAGUCACAUUGCAGACAAACAGUGAAUAAAUAAGAACACUAACAAAAUCA